rnacentral:rRNA from 1 species
GGGUUGUGAGGUUAAGCGACUAAGCGUACACGGUGGAUGCCCUGGCAGUCAGAGGCGAUGAAGGGCGUGCUAAUCUGCGAUAAGCGCCGGUAAGGUGAUAUGAACCGUUAUAACCGGCGAUACCCGAAUGGGGAAACCCAGUGUGAUUCGUCACACUAUCAUUAACUGAAUCCAUAGGUUAAUGAGGCGAACCGGGGGAACUGAAACAUCUAAGUACCCCGAGGAAAAGAAAUCAACCGAGAUUCCCCCAGUAGCGGCGAGCGAACGGGGAGGAGCCCAGAGCCUGAAUCAGCAUGUGUGUUAGUGGAAGCGUCUGGAAAGGCGCGCGAUACAGGGUGACAGCCCCGUACACAAAAGCGCAUGUGCUGUGAGCUCGAUGAGUAGGGCGGGACACGUGGUAUCCUGUCUGAAUAUGGGGGGACCAUCCUCCAAGGCUAAAUACUCCUGACUGACCGAUAGUGAACCAGUACCGUGAGGGAAAGGCGAAAAGAACCCCGGCGAGGGGAGUGAAAAAGAACCUGAAACCGUGUACGUACAAGCAGUGGGAGCCCCACCACCAAAGCAUUCUCUGGUGUUGAAGGCCCUGCAAAGCAGCAUCGCGGUGGCGGAGCGUCGUUUGCGACGCCCAACACACAAAACAAGCGGUGAGUGCUUUGGGGUGGGGUGACUGCGUACCUUUUGUAUAAUGGGUCAGCGACUUAUAUUUUGUAGCAAGGUUAACCGAAUAGGGGAGCCGGAGGGAAACCGAGUCUUAACCGGGCGUUAAGUUGCAGGGUAUAGACCCGAAACCCGGUGAUCUAGCCAUGGGCAGGUUGAAGGUUGGGUAACACUAACUGGAGGACCGAACCGACUAAUGUUGAAAAAUUAGCGGAUGACCUGUGGCUGGGGGUGAAAGGCCAAUCAAACCGGGAGAUAGCUGGUUCUCCCCGAAAGCUAUUUAGGUAGCGCCUCGUGAAUUCAUCUCCGGGGGUAGAGCACUGUUUCGGCUAGGGGGCCAUCCCGGCUUACCAACCCGAUGCAAACUGCGAAUACCGGAGAAUGUUAUCACGGGAGACACACGGCGGGUGCUAACGUCCGUCGUGAAGAGGGAAACAACCCAGACCGCCAGCUAAGGUCCCAAAGUCAUGGUUAAGUGGGAAACGAUGUGGGAAGGCCCAGACAGCCAGGAUGUUGGCUUAGAAGCAGCCAUCAUUUAAAGAAAGCGUAAUAGCUCACUGGUCGAGUCGGCCUGCGCGGAAGAUGUAACGGGGCUAAACCAU